GGACCACAUCCAUGCCGCUCCGCAGGCAACGCGCCGCGCAUGCCUGUCCCGGCCCGGCCGCACCGCCCACGCCGGCUCAGUCCUGUAAAAGUUGUCUCUUUUGUGAUCUGGAACACGCCGUGUCGCCGCCAAGCUCGAGUCCUACAUGGAGCCCUGCUCGUCGCCGCCAAGCUCGAGUCUAUGGAGCGCGUCAAGGACAGGAUUUGGUUAUGUCUUCUUUUAUAAUGGAGCGGGGAGGGAAUUAGCUUGGGUUCCUAUAUUGUAAUGGCUGUCAAUAGAACAGACACAUCUCGUUUCCCCCCAUUAUUUUUUCACGUUGUGCUGCACUCACUAUUAUACACUGGAAACUCGUUCGGUGGCAUCUGACAAGUUUUUGGAUGAGCAGAGGAUAGUUUGGAUUCGGAAAACGGAUUAAACGAUAAAGUGCCUUCCUUAUUUGUCCUUGUAUGAAACAGGACGGCUACCUUCAUUUCUA